AGUGAACGCUGGCGGUAGGCCUAACACAUGCAAGUCGAACGGCAGCACAGUAAGAGCUUGCUCUUACGGGUGGCGAGUGGCGGACGGGUGAGGAAUACAUCGGAAUCUACUUUUUCGUGGGGGAUAACGUAGGGAAACUUACGCUAAUACCGCAUACGACCUACGGGUGAAAGCAGGGGAUCUUCGGACCUUGCGCGAUUGAAUGAGCCGAUGUCGGAUUAGCUAGUUGGCGGGGUAAAGGCCCACCAAGGCGACGAUCCGUAGCUGGUCUGAGAGGAUGAUCAGCCACACGGGAACUGGGACACGGUCCAGAGUCCUACGGGAGGCAGCAGUGGGGAAUAUUGGACAAUGGGCGCAAGCCUGAUCCAGCCAUACCGCGUGGGUGAAGAAGGCCUUCGGGUUGUAAAGCCCUUUUGUUGGGAAAGAAAAGCAGCAGGUUAAUACCCCGCUGUUCUGACGGUACCCAAAGAAUAAGCACCGGCUAACUUCGUG
rnacentral:rRNA from 1 species